rnacentral:tRNA from 1 species
CCCGAUGUGGCGCAACGGUUAGCGCAAGCGGCUUAUAUCCACGAGGUUGGGGGUUCGAAUCCCUCCAUCGGGA